rnacentral:lncRNA from 1 species
UGUCAGUUCAAAACAAAAACUGGCUCCUUUGUUAAUUUUUUUUUGUGGUAAAAAAUCAUGCCUGCAGAUGGUAAAGUGGUCCAUCAAGCAGGUAGGAAUGCUAACAAGGCUUACAUUGCCAGAAUGCUGAAUUGGAAUUUGCAGAGCCACUGUAGAGUAGAAUAUCCUGAUGGUGAGGAAACCUGUGUUGAAUAAUGCUGUCCUGUCCCUUUUUAGGGGGAAAACUUGAGCUCUGCAUUGGAAGGUCAAGUUCCUGGUGGAGAACAUGGCAGGAGGAGGAAGAGGCUCAGCUCAGUGGAUGCAGAGUGGGAGGCUUCCUGUUACUGAUGUGUAAAGUGGGAAAAUGGCUGCUUUCCUAAGGCCAAGUGUGAUUUCAUCAGCUGGUAGAGCAUCCUCACUUUGAGUACUCAAACAUAUUUUGUCUUUGUUCAGAAUGAUGUUUCAGAACACCUCCAAACAGCACUUCUGAAACAAAUAGUUUCAGAAGUGUGGAAGAAAAGGAAAAUACAGACUAUCACUGAGUUGUGUGUAAGUUCGAAGUCUAGGGGAAUUUCUAAGAAGUGACAUAAAGGGUGAACCUUGUACAUUGAUAAAUCAGUGAAAUAAAAUUGCUCCCAUGUGUUCUGGAUAAAACUAG